rnacentral:rRNA from 1 species
AUUGAACGCUGGCGGCAGGCCUAACACAUGCAAGUCGAACGAGUGGCGGACGGGUGAGUAAUGUCUGGGAAACUGCCUGAUGGAGGGGGAUAACUACUUGAAACUGUAGCUAAUACCGCAUACCAUCGGAUUUUCCCAGAUGGGAUUAGUGAGUAGGUGGGGUAAAGGCUCACCUAGGCGACGAUCCCUAGCUGGUCUGAGAGGAUGACCAGCCACACUGGAACGGGGACACGGUCCAGACUCCUACGGGAGGCAGCAGUGGGGAAUAUUGCACAAUGGGCGCAAGCCUGAUGCAGACAUGCCGCGUGUAUGAAGAAGGCCUUCGGGUUGUAAAGUACUUUCAGCGGGGAGGCUUUACCCGCAGAAGAAGCACCGGCUAACUCCGUGCCAGCAGCCGCGGUAAUUC